rnacentral:rRNA from 1 species
AUUGAACGCUGGCGGCAUGCCUUACACAUGCAGUCGAACGGCAGCACGGGUGCUUGCACCUGGUGGCGAGUGGCGAACGGGUGAGUAAUACAUCGGAACGUACCUUAUCGUGGGGGAUAACGCAGCGAAAGCUGUGCUAAUACCGCAUACGCCCUAAGGGGGAAAGCGGGGGAUCGCAAGACCUCGCGCGAUUAGAGCGGCCGAUGCCUGAUUAGCUUGUUGGUGGGGUAAAAGCCCACCAAGGCGGCGAUCAGUAGCUGGUCUGAGAGGACGAUCAGCCACACUGGGACUGAGACACGGCCCAGACUCCUACGGGAGGCAGCAGUGGGGAAUUUUGGACAAUGGGGGCAACCCUGAUCCAGCAAUGCCGCGUGAGUGAAGAAGGCCUUCGGGUUGUAAAGCUCUUUUGUCAGGGAAGAAACACCGGCUCUAACACAGUCCGGGAAUGACGGUACCUGAAGAAUAAGCACCGGCUAACUACGUGCCAGCAGCCGCGGUAA